CAGCACGGANCUUGCUCUGGNGGCGAGUGGCGAACGGGUGAGUAANGCGUCGGAACGUAUCCAAUAAUGGGGGAUAACGCAGCGAAAGCUGUGCUAAUACCGCAUACGCCCUCCGGGGGAAAGCAGGGGAUCUUAGGACCUUGCGUUAAUGGAGCGGCCGACGUCUGAUUAGCUAGUUGGUAGGGUAAAGGCCUACCAAGGCGACGAUCAGUAGCUGGUCUGAGAGGAUGAUCAGCCACACUGGGACUGAGACACGGCCCAGACUCCUACGGGAGGCAGCAGUGGGGAAUUUUGGACAAUGGGCGCAAGCCUGAUCCAGCCAUUCCGCGUGAGUGAAGAAGGCCUUCGGGUUGUAAAGCUCUUUCAGGAGGGAAGAAACGAUUGUGGCUAAUACCCAUGAUUAAUGACGGUACCUUCAGAAGAAGCACCGGCUAACUACGUGCCAGCAGCCGCGGUAAUACGUAGGGUGCGAGCGUUAAUCGGAAUUACUGGGCGUAAAGCGUGCGCAGGCGGUUUUUCAAGUCUGAUGUGAAAUCCCCGGGCUUAACCUGGGAACUGNNNNGNAAACUGAAAGACUAGAGUGCGGCAGAGGGGGGUAGAAUUCCACGUGUAGCAGUGAAAUGCGUAGAUAUGUGGAGGAAUACCGAUGGCGAAGGCAGCCCCCUGGGUCGACACUGACGCUCAUGCACGAAAGCGUGGGUAGCAAACAGGAUUANAUACCCUGGUAGUCCACGCCCUAAACGAUGUCAACUAGUUGUUGGGGAGGGAGANCUCCUUAGUAACGCAGCUAACGCGUGAAGUNGANCGCCCUGGGGA
rnacentral:rRNA from 1 species